GAUGAAGAACGUAGCGAAAUGCGAUAAGUAGUGUGAAUUGCAGAAUUCAGUGAAUCAUCGAAACUUUGAACGCACAUUGCGCCCUUUGGUAUUCCAAAGGGCAUGCCUGUUCGAGCGUCAUUUGUACCCUCAAGCUUUGCUUGGUGUUGGGCGUCUUGUCUCUAGCUUUGCUGGAGACUCGCCUUAAAGUAAUUGGCAGCCGGCCUACUGGUUUCGGAGCGCAGCACAAGUCGCACUCUCUAUCAGCAAAGGUCUAGCAUCCAUUAAGCCUUUUUUUCAACUUUUGACCUCGGAUCAGGUAGGGAUACCCGCUGAACUUAAGCAUAUCAAUAAGCGGAGGA
rnacentral:misc_RNA from 1 species